AUUUCGUGCGCAGCGCGUUUCGCAUAGCGUUGUUUUUGAUUUUUGGCUUUCGUUCGUUUUCGUAAACAACCUAACGCGCGAUUUCUCGUAACAGGUUCCAUUUUUAUUUUAAAGCAACCUGUUGCUGCAACAGGUUUCGUAAAAAAUUACUCAUCUUUAGUAGGAAACAGCCUCAAAAAUAUCGUUUUUAUUAAAAUAUCUCGAACAAUAAACAUAACCUAAAAUGUAAACAUUGUCUGAUUUUACCAAUUUGGCCAUUGCUGGGAGACCUGAAAAUUGGGCUCAUGAAACCUUCUUAGGUAUUGUAACUUAUGCCCAAAUUCUAGCACUGUAACGCCAGGCCCAAGUUUGUAUGGAUUUCGGGUUUGUCCUUUGAUGUUAACGAAAAUAGAUUUGAAUUUGAAUAAGAUCGUUAAUGACACAAAGUGAAGUGUUUGAAGUGAGGCAACCCACGAGGUCUCCCGUGACGAGCGUGCCGACGACAGUGAGCGGCGCGUCCAGCUCGAAGUAGUGCAGCCAGGAGUCCACGGCGGCGUCGGAGCACAGCGGCGCGCGGGAGAAGUCCGGCAUCACGUGGAAGUAGCCGCGGCCCGCGCGCAGCACGAACGCGCCGCCCAGACCUGCGCACCACCACACUCUACGGAGUGCACCUCAUCAAGAGAUCUUUUUCUUACUGGUGAAAGGACCUCUUGUGAAUCCGCACGGGAAGGAAUAGAUUUUGUGCGUGGCAGCGGAGCCCACUGCCCGCUGACUGGGGGCGGAGUCUCAAUUGUGUGCAUGCAGAGUGUCUUACCCCGAUGAAAUAAUAAAGGAUGUCUGUCCAGACGUGCAGCCCGCGCCGGCUACACUAACACUUACCCACGACUUUGUCUCCGUAGUGAGUCUUCAAUGUCUCUCGGAUGGACGUGAUAAAGUUGGACUUGCCCGUGCGGUUCUUCGCGACCACUUUAAUUACCUGGUCAUUGUCAUCGCUCAUUAAUACACAUUACAUUACAACAUACACAUUAACAGUGAAUUGACGCUGUACGUAUGUAUAUAAUGGGAAGAUUCUCCAAAUGGUUGAACAAUAAUCAAAGACAUCUAACUAUGCGGUUUCUGUACAAUAUUAAGAAAACAAAAUUUAAAACCUUUAUUUUCCACAAAUUAUAGUUUUACACAGUAUUAUUGAAUUAAGUAAAACUGAACUCAUUUUUUUGUUUCUCAAUGACAGAGUUCAGUCAAUCUAUAGAAAAAUCUCUUUUUUUUAAACUAAAAAAUUUCAAAGUUUUUCCAUCAAAAUUACAUAAAUAGGAUUUUCUUUACAUAUAUGCUAGAUCUAUGAUUGUGAUCGCUAAUAAUGUUCACAUUCAGACGAGACAAUGUCAGCAGAAACCCGUUCAAUUUAGUUUAGUAUGCUUACGAGAUCUAAUAUCAGUGUUCAGUUCGCAAUUACUGACCACGUCCCACGCCCCACGACGUAAUUGUAACAAAGCUCACAGCAUCCUGUACCUUUCCGGGUUUCCCUUCCGUCAGCAGGUAGUUUCCGAGCAACGCAGUCCUGGUCUCGUCGUUGGGCAGCUGUUGCUGGAGGUAGCCGCUGCUGCCCUUGGGCGCUCCUACUGGGUGCACCGACACUAUUCUGGUACCUUGGUCAACAGUACCGUUGCGGACACUAAGGUUUACUAUACCCUGGAAAACGUCGUAAUGUUAAAUAGAUUUCUGAAAUCUUCAGACGUAUACAGGAGUUUACGGUUUACUUGAAACUAUUCCUCUCAUCACGUUUACCUGCACACGCACGGCCGAGUUUAUAUAGCGUCAUUAAUUCUCAAUGGUUCGACAUUGGUACUUCUCCGGUGGUGACAUUGGUAUGUUGAAAUAAACUGAGACAUAUAAGACCGGUACAAAAUAUAUUUGAAUCGACACCGUGAAGUCAGUGGUGUGAACUAGGAGCUGGCUUUCAGCAGACUGCAUUCCUGCUUAGUCCUUGAAAGCGCAUUCCGUUACCUCGCAGUUCACGCCCAGGUACGGCCACGGUCCGGCUCCAGCGCCGGCGAGGAAGGCGGGGUCGCGGUUCAAGUGUUCCAGCAGCUUGGCCAGGUCGUAUAUCUUGUCGCGUUUGACCUGCGGCACUAAGUACGGCGGGCCCCCGAUCUCGACCAGUUUGGCGUCGCCAGUCAAUCCUGUUGUUCAAUUAAUGAAGGCUAUAAAGUCGAGGAUAUGAAAUUAUUUUAAAGAAGCGAAAAUAAAUUAUUGGUACAGCAUGGUUUGUAUGCGCGGAUGCCGGGAAAAUUGUACUGUAAAGAGAGGUACCUCUUCAUUCGAGCAGUUUUCGACUUCGAAAGGCCUCUGAUACCAAUAUCCAAUCUUCCUUACAACCAAUACAAGAAGAAUUAUUUAUAUAUAUGUGUAUCCAGAUAGUUGUACAAUUGAUAUGUAUAAGUGGGCAAAUAAGUUCACGGCCCAUCUGAUGCUAGGCGGCGACCAGAGCCCGGGCACUACAUUACGCGAACACCGUAUCUCACCCUGAGACAUGAGACUUCAAGUUUUCAUUAAAUAGGUAAAAUGGCGAUCCUAAGAGGCUAUUCCAGCUACGCACAGACUGGUAGGUGAGCUCAUAGGCUCAACCUGAGAGAAUUUGCUGACACUAGCUCCAUCAAGAGUAGUGCUUCGCAGAACCUACCACCGGAUCGGAAUCGCAACCUACUGAGACCCAUACAGCGAGAAUCUCAGUGAACUGUGUAUAUGGGAUAAUUCGCUCGUCGAACUAUUUCGCUAAUUCGCUAAUCGACGAGUUCGACGAGAAAAUUGUGUGUCCGUAAAGGUGAAGCUUAAAUUACAUAAUAUAAAACAUGUGAUAUUUUUAUUCUUGUUGAGAUUGUGAUGACACGUCCUCGUAUUUUUACGACAAUAGAUAAAGAUAGCUUCAUUGUGUAAUAUAUUGUCUUAAAACCAAUGAUGUUUUAUACAACAGAUAUGUUAUCUUCAUAGUGACUGACUCUUCAAAUCUGAUCGCGCCAUAUAUAUCUACAAACCUUGACGUGCGCUUGAAACAUAUCUGCUUCUUUUUACAUAUAAAAUAUCAUUGCUUAAAACAAAUAAUUUAUAGCUUCGGUUUUCUUAUCUAAAGUCCCUUAUGUAAAACAAAUUUAAAUUUGUUUUUUCUUUUCUUUGCAAAGUUAAAGAUUGAACGAGAAUUUAAUAGUUCUAGAAAUCGGAUGUCGCAGCAGAACUAGGGCCCAGAAUGUAGACUACUAACCUGGUGAUUUGAGAUAGUAAGGAGGUUCAGUGAGGUCUGGACUAUCGGCCACUGACACUUCCACAAACUUGAAGUUCGUUGUUAAACCAUUCGACAAUACUGCAAAUAACAAUGACGUCGCUAUUACUGGUACCUACCACAUACCUACACGUACGCUUGACACCAAGCGUUGAUGGUCCAAUUCUGUCCCUUAAUGCAUAAUCCUUGUAAGAUGAUAGUUUCUGAGCUUUAGAACAUUACAGCCCUUGUUGCUUAGUUAAAAGUAUUAUUGUUAAAAGUUAUUAACACUGCUUACCAUCAAUAACCGAUAAUCCGUCUUUGUGUUUAAGACAUUAAAACCAUGUAAAAUUCUAUGAGAAAA